AAACAAAGAAAAUUGUAAAGCCUGUCAGCUCACCAAUGCCCCCAAUCAACCGCUUAUGAAAGGAGCUCACCUCCAUGAAGAUAGGCCAGGAUGGGUUGAAGCCUACCCAACAAAGCAUGAGACUGCGAACGUCGUGGCUAAGGAGAUCCUGGAAGAAAUCCAACCCAGGUAUGCCUUCCAUCCACCAUCAGAUCGGACAAUGGACCAGCCUUCGUCUCAAAAGGGACUGGUGUUUGUUCGAAGGCACAACUUGAGAUCUCU